CCCUGACAGUGACAUCAAGUUACUGACAAUAGCCAAGACAGGAGAUCCAUAUG
rnacentral:sRNA from 12 species